GCCACAAACCUCUGACAAAGGCAGACUGUUGGCGCUGCGCGCGGUGCAAAUACCUGGACGGCUUCCAGGCGGAAUUCUUCCUGCCAGCUCCCCCAUAGCAGCGAGCUCGAGCUUGAGCGCGCGAGGGAGGAAGGGCAGUAUCGUUAGAAGUAAUUCAACUCUGGCUUCCCUGCGCGUGACUCAGUUUCCUGUUUCGCAGCUUUUCGGGUUUUUUUUUUUUUUUUUUUUUCUUCCCUCUCCCCUCUGAAAACUGUUAGGCCAUUGUGCUCCUCAGCUGGACAGGACUCUGUAUUUACUAAGUAUUCUGUAGAUAUAUUUUAACUGGCCCUAAUUUGUUAUCAAAUGAGAUAACUUUGAGUAGCUGCAAUCUUGCUCAACAGUGAGUCGUGGCACGUUGGACUCGGUUGAUUCACUUAAAAUGGAAUUCCAGGUAAAAGACAAGAAGUGGGGCCUAUGGCAGUGCCUAACAGUAUGUGUGUAAAUAAAUAAGUGAUUAAACAGAAUGCCAUUGGUACGCUGUAAUGUUUUGUUGCGUACAAAGGGCAAAGGUCGUCUCUCUGAGGGAGCGGCUGAGAAAAACCACAUCUUUACCCCAGAACACCAGAGGUGUGGGAGGGACAGCGAUCAAGGCUAGAUGGAUAAACGCACAGUCUGAAACAACUAGUCCCGAGGGGUGCGGCAAACCGGAUCCUAACCCGGCAACACAGGGCACAAGGCUGGAGGGGGAGGGGACGCACCCAGGACGGGAUGCCGGUCCAUCGCAAGGCACCCCAACCGGGACUCAAACCCCAGACCCACCAGAGAGCAGGCACAGGCCAAAUUUGCUGCGCCACCACAUCCCCCUAGAUGGAUACAUCCUUCCUCAAAUAUAAAACCAGGUGACUGUGGUCUAACUCAUGUAAAUCACACUUGCUGUUUUCACAUUGGAUUAUUAUUAUUAUUAUUAUUAUUAUUAAUAAUUCAUUGAGCUGGUGUUUCUCUCUGCAGAGCCUCUCACAGUACUUGAUCAAUGUUACUGCACUGGAAGCAGAAUUUGAACCUGGAUCCCUCAAGUAAAAGUCAGCAAGUCUUUCCUCAACACAACUUGCCACCCUUCAGUGUAGUUUCUGCUUAGGUCAAAUUAAUGCAGGACUUUCAGAGCUGUUCAUCACACUUUGCAUGUUGAGAAGUCUGCCAGCUGAGCUAUUUGAACCUUCGUGAGGACAGCGGGACUCGAACCUUUGGUGCUCUGCUCUCAACUAAUUCGCCUUAUGUGUUAGGCCGUGCGGUCUGGUUUGAGUCCACCGCAAUCAGCCGCAAUCACCGUAAGGCCAGAAUGCCUGAUGUGUGCUGUUGAAAGCGAGAUGGUACAUCCUUCUUGGCUGACCUCUGUCCCUUAGGUGUACCGAACCCAGCACUUUGCUGACAGGCAGAGACUCGUCUUGAAAGCAUGCGUGGGGAUACGUCUCAAAGGCAUGGACGGAACUGCACAUUCCUUUCCAUUGCACAACACUUUGCUAGUGCUGCGUGAUGUAUCUUGGUAAUUUGAAUAUUUUUGCAUAAAUGAAGGGCCUGAAGCCAUCUGUCUUCACUUAUGUAAACCUUGCAGUUUCAGGAUGCUUGCUUUAUCUUGCCAUCUCGGUUUCUUGGGGCAAACUUAAUAUGGUACCAGCUACGGAAAGUACCUCCAAAGGGCUGGAGCCUCACUUGAUUGUCUGCAACACACUCCGCAAGCUGGCAGACACGUGCACUCUGUUGGCAUGACGCUACGGCUCUCUCCGCAUUAUAGACGAUCGCUCGCUUUUUCUGCAUUCUUUUAUUAUUUCUUUCUUAAUUCUUUAAUCAUAACUUAUACAACCACCCUAAGACUGCGAAUGACAUUCUUCGCCCCUUGUUAUUUACAGUAUAUUUACGGCAUAUGGAGAAAUGAACGCAAUAAAGGGGUUGUUUGACUCUUGUGUGGCA
rnacentral:lncRNA from 1 species